rnacentral:rRNA from 1 species
UACGUAGGGGGCGAGCGUUGUCCGGAUUUACUGGGCGUAAAGAGCGCGCAGGCGGUCGUUCAAGUCGCGUGUGAAAGCCCCCGGCUCAACUGGGGAGGGUCACGCGAUACUGAUCGACUCGAAGGCAGGAGAGGGAAGUGGAAUUCCCGGUGUAGUGGUGAAAUGCGUAGAUAUCGGGAGGAACACCAGUGGCGAAGGCGACUUCCUGGCCUGUUCUUGACGCUGAGGCGCGAAAGCUAGGGUAGCAAACGGG